GUGCUCACUUCAGCAGCACAUAUGCUAAAACUGGAAUGAUACAGAGAAAAUUAGCAUGGUCCCUGCGCAAGGACUGACAUGCAAAUUCACGAAGCAUUCCAUAUUUUU
ensembl:snRNA U6 U6 spliceosomal RNA